CUUCGACACACGUCGGAGAGGAAAGUCCGGGCUCCACUGGGCAGGGUGCUGGGUAACGCCCAGGGUCCGGUCGUCCUCGGAUGGCUGGAUACGGAAAGUGACACAGAAACCGUACCGUCCCAACUUGUCCCGAACUCGGGACUUAUCGGGAUAAGGGUGAAAACGCGAGGUAAGAGCUCACGGCCGACUGCGGUGACGUAGCGGCGGUCAAACCCCACCUGGAGCAAGGCCAAAUAGGGGGAUAUUGGGCGCCCGGCCCAUCCCCGGGGAGGCCGCUUGACCCCGAUGGUAACAUCGUCCCCA
rnacentral:RNase_P_RNA from 1 species